rnacentral:rRNA from 1 species
AAAUUGAAGAGUUUGAUCAUGGCUCAGAUUGAACGCUGGCGGCAGGCCUAACACAUGCAAGUCGAGCGGAAACGAGUUAUCAGAACCUUCGGGGGACGAUAACGGCGUCGAGCGGCGGACGGGUGAGUAAUGCCUAGGAAAUUGCCCUGAUGUGGGGGAUAACCAUUGGAAACGAUGGCUAAUACCGCAUGAUGCCUACGGGCCAAAGAGGGGGACCUUCGGGCCUCUCGCGUCAGGAUAUGCCUAGGUGGGAUUAGCUAGUUGGUGAGGUAAGGGCUCACCAAGGCGACGAUCCCUAGCUGGUCUGAGAGGAUGAUCAGCCACACUGGAACUGAGACACGGUCCAGACUCCUACGGGAGGCAGCAGUGGGGAAUAUUGCACAAUGGGCGCAAGCCUGAUGCAGCCAUGCCGCGUGUGUGAAGAAGGCCUUCGGGUUGUAAAGCACUUUCAGUCGUGAGGAAGGUAGUGUAGUUAAUAGCUGCAUUAUUUGACGUUAGCGACAGAAGAAGCACCGGCUAACUCCGUGCCAGCAGCCGCGGUAAUACGGAGGGUGCGAGCGUUAAUCGGAAU